rnacentral:lncRNA from 1 species
UCGAAUCUAUUCAAACAAUCUAAGCUAAUAGGGCGAGGCAUGAGCCUAGAGUAUGUUGCUUCAGUUGUGAAAGAUGGGUCCAAAUUGGUUCAAUUACAAGCAAGUGAUGUGGAUAUGGACACUGAAAAAUGGAAAAAAGCUCUUACACUCUAUGUUGUUGGUGCUUCUCUAAUGAUUGGGUCCUUAGAGAGGUUUAUAGCAGAGCAAUGGAACUUUGCAGCCAAGCCAAAGAUAUACUAUCAUAAUGAGGGUUAUUUUGUUGUGUUGUUCACUUUGUUGGAAAAUUGAGAUGCAAUUCUAUCAUCAGGACCUUAUAUGCUUAACAAUAAACCAAUAAUCUUAAAGGUAUGGUCAGAGAAGUUUGAUUUUAGUGCUAAGGUUUUAACUACGCUCCCUAUAUGGGUUAAGUUCUCCAAUUUACCACUGAAUUAUUAAAGUCAAGGAGUCUUCAGUAGGAUUAGUAGUGCAAUAGGUAAUCCUUUGUUUGCUGACGAUUGUACAAUAGGAGUGGAAAGGAUUUUCUAUGCGCGUGUGCUUAUAGAGAUGAAUGUCACCAAGGUACUUCCAAAGGUGCUAUCCGUGCCGGACCCGAGUGGUAGAAUUUUUUGGCAAAAACUGGAGUAUGACUGGGUGCCAGUAUAUUGAAAUACAUGCCUAAUGGUAGGCCAUAAAUAUAGCUUGUGGAGAAGAAGGCUCCUCCUGAACAUAGGAAGCCUAAGCCUGUACAAACAUGGGUACAAAAGCCUAAUCCUGAAGCUCCACCAGAUAUGUAAGUAGUCGUUGGGCCAAGUGAGGCAUUCCCACCUUUGAAUCAUACAUGGAAAGAAGCAAAAAACAUAUCAACUACUAAGAAUAAGCAAAAAGAUCAGGUAGAUAUUACACCUCUGACUAAUGGUUUUACUAUGCUGAAAGGUUAUAUUAUAUAGGAUGCAGGUAUUAUGAGUAGACAGGAUGUAGGUCAAUGUAGUAAAUGGGAUGAAGGAGGAGAUCAGAAGAAAAUAUCUAAAUGUGCAUGAUGAUAGUAGCAUGGAAUAUAAGGGGUAUCAAUAAGUUAUUUAAGCAGAAAGAGGCUAGUUUUUUCUCAAAUAAAUAUAGAGUUAGUCUGAUAGCUAUGGUCGAACAUAAGGUGCAACAACAAUAUGCUUCAAAUAUCAUUUAAAAAAUCACAAAAAAUAGAACUAGUGUGAUAUGGAUCCUAUAGAAUACUGAUAGAAUUGACUUUGAGCUUGUCAAAAUGAAUGAACAAUAUAUACAUGGCAAAGUAGAGAUCAAUAAUGAGAGUUUUAUGUUUAUUGCCAUAAAUGGGUUGUAUUCAAUUGUUGAUAGAAGUAAACUAUGGCCUUCUCUUGGCACCAUUGCUGCUGGUAUACACUGACCUUGGAUUCUAAUAGGUGACUAUCACACAAUAGUGGAACAUGAUGACAGGAUUCAAGGAAGUCCAGUACUCGAUAGUGAAACUAAAGAUUUUGCACGAUUCCUGGAAGAUCAUAAACUUAUAGAGCUAAGAUCAGUGGGAAGGAAGUAUACAUGGAGUAAUGGGCAUGUUUAUAGCAAGAUAGAUAGACCUGUAGUUAAUGUUAAAUGGGUGCAAAGGUUUCCCCAUAUUGAAGUUAUUAUGAUGAACCCCGGAUGCUCAGACCAUACUCCAAUUGGUAUUGAUGUUGACAGCAAUAAACCACCUGGAAAAUUGGCUUUCAAAAUUUUUAAUGUACUAGCUAAGCACCUCAGCUUUCCUGUAAUUAUACGACAAGCUUGGCUGAAGCUGGUUACUAGAGUUACUAUAAAGAAGGUGUGGGAGAAAGUUGAGAUAGUAAAAUAAGGUUUAAAGAAUUCAAACAAUAGAGAAUUCACUAGCACUGCUAGUAAAAAUCAAGAAGCUAGAGCAAAGUUGGAGAAACUACAAGUAGAUAUGAGAUCCAACACAUCAGCUGAACUAUUUGGAGAAAAAAAGUAGAUUAAACUAAAGCUUGAAUAGUGGUGUCUUAUAGAGGAGAAUACUCUGCAACAAAAAUCUAGGAUGACAUGGCUUAGAUUAGGAGAUGCAAACACAAAAUAUUUCUUUGCAGGUGUAAAGGGUAGACAAGCUCAAAAUAAGAUCAAGAACCUAGUAUCCAUAAUAGGCAACAUACUGAAUUCCCAAGAUGGUAUAUGGAAAGAGUUAUUGAUUUUUAUUCUGCUCUUCUAGGUACUGCAGCCAACAUUGUACCUACUUUUGAUCCUACAGUAAUGAGAGAUUUGUGAACAUUGUUUGUUGUCUGUUGUUGCUGUUGCUGUGGUCGCUUCUUAGUUUUGCUUCGGGAGUAGUCCUUUGAACGUGUGUGUGCCUUGUAUCUCCUAGCUGCUGCUUUGAUAUUGACACCGGGUAUAUCCUUAUAUUUUCCUAUUUUUUCGUGUAGUUGUGGCUGUGGGUGGUACUAGGCAAGUUAACGAAUGAAGUUCAAUAACCUAGUAUGAUUGUUCAAAAGUUCUUUAACCCUGGGUUUUCUCCUAUUGAUUGUUUCAAGAUCUUUACUUUAUGCAUUGUCUAUUUUUCUUGAGUUAUAAAUUACAAACUCUCUUUUCAGUUAUGACUGCAUCAACUAAAAAAAAAUUGUGAACUAAUAUAGAAUUGUUGUUCAAUCAAGUCUUUGUGGGAUCGUUACUUGGCUUCUGGAAAGCCACUUUACUACUUGAUAAGUCCACAUACACUUGUGUGUGUGCAUGGGUGCUGUCAAUUUUUGUGGGAAAAUGUUAGUUUAUCAUGGGAUUUAGUUGUUAAUUAAUGGAUAGGCUAGGUCGAAGAUCAUUGGGGACAAUCUUUCGACUAAACCCAAACGAUUUCACCCAUUGGCCCUUUCGAACACCUAACAAGUGCAGAGCUCAUAUAGCCACCCAAAACCUAAACCAAGCAUCCCUAUUUAUAGAAUGAUGCUCUUUACAUGAUUUAUACUCCCUAAACACUUAUUUCUAAGAUUCCAAAGGGUAAUAAACCAUAGACUUAAUUGUUCACCAUUGCUUUUUCCCCUGAUAACCCUCUUUCGAGGAUGUUAUGGCUUACGUAAUAUUCACCUAAACCCCUCUGCCAAGGCUGAAAAAAUGUUUCAAGAGCUUGGAGCUUUCACCUAUCAAACCCAUUUGGAUAUUUGGAGUUUUCACCCAUCAAAUUCUAAUACAUAAUCUCAAGUAAUGGUUAAAUCCAUACUCAACAACUAAAAUCAAUGUAAACACAACAAUACCAACACACAAUCACACUCUAGUUCAAAACGUAAUCCCAAGACUAUAUUAUUUAAAUACUCAUGCACAAAGUAAAGAGAGUAUACCAUGUUGUUCAAUCAUAGCAUUCAUUCUUUAACUAUAAAAUAUGAAAUUUAAUCCUCCAAAGUUGAUUACACACUUUCCAAUUAGGUUUUCAAGCUUAGAAUUCAAAACUAUCUUAUGAGAUAAGCAAUACCCAAAGAAAAAAGGGGUUUUUCUUAUAUAUAAUUUGGGAUUCAUCCAUGAUGUUUUUCAAUUUUUCCCUCGGGCCAGUUCCUAUUGAUCCAUGAUCGCGUGUGUUUGACCGCGACUAUGGCUAUGCGAUCGCAGCUAGGUUUCACUACUUGGUUUUUCUGACCACCUGAAAUGACGACAACUGUGGUCUAAGGAUCACUAUCGUGGUAACGGAGGCUGACUGCUUUAGGUUUCUAGUUGCACUCUUUUUGCUUCUAUUUACUCCCUUUUUUGCUCCAUUCCAUAUAUGCUUACCUUCUUUACUUCAUACCUGCAAAAUGUAGGUGUUAGUGCACUUAAAUAUGAAUAACUCCUCAUUUUCUAAUACAAAACAUGGUAGUGUAUGAGUAUAAUAUGUAUGAAUGAGUGGUAGAAUUACCACUCAUCAUUAAUUUACAUUGAAGUUGAUUAUAAAUUUGAGUAAAAUUCAUAAUUAACCAUAAGAAGGUUUUUGGGAUCAAUAGGCGAAAGGAACCCAAGGAUGAACACCCCACAUACCUUACUUUCUUGAUUUCCUAAUUCCUUGAUUUCUUGAAGGAGAACAUGAAUUUGGAUCCUUGGAAGUUGAACUUUGGAAAGAAACCCUAAUUUCUUUUAUCUUAAGAGGAGAGAGGAGAGUAAACCUUGAAAACUGAGUGAUAAUGUGAAACUAUCAUUUGUUAGAUGAUUUAAGUCAUGGUGAGUAGGGUUUGAGGUGAGGAAAUAAUAAGAAUAACCCUAGGGAAACUAAAUAAAAAUUACAGAAAUUUCCAGUUGAUGACUUAUAAACUUAAUAAUCACCUCCUCUUAAUGAUCUGGCUAAGGCUGACAACUUAGUUUAUAUCCUAUCAAAGAGUGGAUAGCUUAUCAACCUAUUGGUUACCCUAUUUUAAUGAUCUUAUUAAGGCUAAUGAUUUAGUUUAUAGCCGGUCAACUAGUUGAAGGCUUAUCAACCUAGUCAUUGCCUUCUCUAAUGAUCUUGUUAAGGAUGACGACUUAGUUGAUAGCCAGACAACUAGUUCACAGCUUAUCAACCUAGUCAUUACCUUUCCUAAGUGAUGUUAGAUACUUUCUAGUUAAGGAAUAUGAUGAGGUUGGUAGAUCGCCACUUAGUUGAUGGAUUAUAACCUUAAGUCAUCAUCGUGUAGCUAGAUUUAGUCACAUUCUAGCUAAGGCUGAUGAUGAGAUGAAAGCUUAUCACUUAUAUGAUGGAUUAUCGCCUUAAGUCGUCUCCAUGUUUAUAGACAAACACUAAGUUGAUGCCUUAUAAACUUAGUCAUCGCCUUCUCUUAAUGAUCUGGAUAAUGCUGACAACUUUGUUGAUAAGCUGUCACCUAGUUGAUGGCUUAUCAACUUAGUGGUCACCUUAUUUUAAUGAUCUAAUUAAGGAUAAUGACUUAGUUUAUAGCCUGUAAACUAGUUGACGGCUUAUCUACCUAGUCGUUGCCUUUUCUAGUAAUCUCGUUAAGGUUGCUGACUUAGUUUAUAGCCUGACAACUAGUUCACAGCUUAUCAACCUAGUCGUCAUCUUUUCUAAGUGAUGUUGGAUACUUUCUAGUUAAGAAAAAUGAUGAGGUUGAUCGAUCGUCACUUAGUAGAUGGCUUAUAACCUUAGGUCAUCACCGUGUAGCUAAAUUUUAUCACAUUCUAGUUAAGGCUGACGAUGAGAUGAUAUCUCAUCACUUAGAUGAUGGCUUAUCACCUCAAGUCGUCACCUUGUUGAUAGACAAACACUCCGAAGUAAAAUAAGCAUAACAUUCUACUACAAUGUCUUAUUAAGAUGAAGUUUGAUGUAUUGGAAAUAAAAUUCACAUAUCUUUCAUUUUAUAUAUAGUAGGAUACUUGAAUCAUUAUAUUCUUGGAAUUGCACUAGUUUAAAUUUGACCCUUAUAGGAUCAAAAACAUGAACUCAAUCGAUAAAAGUGUUCUCAACUCCACUUUGCUCUAAGUUCUUCCCAUGAACAUGAUUUGCAUCAAAAAAAAAAUUAUACAUAAAGUGAAUGGUCAUGAAAAAUAUAUUAAUAUACCAAUCAUAGGACUAGAGUUUUUACAUGUAGGAAUGACGGUUCAAAUUUUACCCCAAAAAUGUAGGGAGGGGGUAUUACAUUAUCUCCCCCUUGGAAUCAUUCGUCCUCGAACGAUGGAUAGGAACUUGUUGAAGUAUUAGAAGUAUGGAAUAUCAUAGCCAUGGCAUGUAAUCUAAUGCUGUUUUAUAUUCCUUAUGGGUGCCGUAUCUAUGUUAUGUCAUCUGCUUCUGUGCUGUACUAUGUGUUUGUGUGAUAUCUCGUGACUUGAGCCGGGGGUCUUUCGGAAACAGCCUUUCUACUUCAUCAGAGGUAGAGGUAUGGACUGCGUACAUCUUACCCCCCCAGACCCCACUAAGUGGGAAUACACUGGGUUUGUUGUUGUUGUUGUUGUUGUUGUAGUAAUGAGAGAUGGAAAUAUGCUUAACAGGGCUCAACAACUAGAGUUAAUCAAACCAGUCACUAGACAGGAAGUGUUAGAAGCCCUCAGUGUUAUAGAUGGAAAUAAAGCACUAGGCUGUGAUGGUAUGAAUGCAUGUUUUUUCAAAAAUCUUGGCCUGUGCUAGGUACUGAAGUUACUGAUGUUGUGCUUGAAUUUUUUACCAAUGGGACAAUGUUUAGACUAGUGAACUAUACCAGUGUGACCUUGAUCCCAAAGGUUAAAAAUCCUAAGACAAUUAAAGAGUUUAGGCCAAUCUCCUAUUGUACUACCUUGUAUCAUAUUAUCACAAAAGUAAUCACUUCUAGGAUGAAACAGUUAAUGGAUACUUUGAUUGAUACUUGUCAGGUAGCUUUUGUACUAGGUAGAGUAAUAACAGAUAUGAGAUGGUAAAAGGAUAUGGUAGGAAAGGUAUUUCUCCAAGGUGCAUGUUAAAUAUAGAUAUUCAAAAGGCAUAUGACUCUGUGGAGUGGCCAUUUAUAGAACCAAUGCUGAGAGGUCUGAAUUUUCCUGAAAGAUUUGUGCACUGGAUUAUGAAAUACAUAAGUACUAUCUCAUACUCUAUGAUGAUCAAUGGAGGCCCAUCUACUCCAUUUCUUGCUAAAAGAGGGUUGAGUCAAUAUCUUUGUUAUUGUAAUGGAAUACCUCAUAAGGUUGUUGAAGGGUCUGAGAAUACAAAAGAAGUUUAAAUUCCAUCCUAAGUAUGCAAAAGUGAAUCUGAUUUAUCUGGGAUUUGCAGAUGAUUUUUGUUUUGAAAAGAUAUUUAAUUGUUACUCAAUAUUUUCUAUGGCUUCAGGAUUGCAAGCAAAUGCCAAUAAAAGUUCUGUUUAUUUUGGAGGGGUGCCAGGUAAUAUACAAUAUCAGAUUCUGGAAGUGUUAGGUUUCACCAUUAGUACUAUGCCUUUUAGAUAUCUUGGAGUUCCUUUGAGUACAAAAAGGAUCUCCAUCACUCAGUGUUAGCCACUGAUUGAGAAGAUUAUGAACCGGAUUACAUCCUAGACCACUAAGUAAUUGUCAUAUGCUGAUAGACUUCAGUUGAUCAAGAGUGUCUUAUUUUCAAUACAAACCUACUGGUCACAAGUUUUUGUGCUUCAUAAAUGUGUUAUUCGGGGUAUGGAAAGCUUGUGCAAAAGAUUUCUAUGGACAUGAACAAAAGAGAUCUCAAAAAAAGCACUUAUAACAUGGGAAAAUUUAUGCAAACUCAAGACAUAUGGAGGUGUGAACAUCAUUGACCUGACUACUUGGAACAAGGACGCUAUACCUAAAAUACUAUAGAACCUAUGCCGGAAAAAAUAUAAGAUAUGGGUGCAUUGGGUGCAUACUUAUUACAUAAAAAAUGAGAUAAUCGGAGAGGUGAUACCUAGACAGGCUUCCUGGAUACUGUAAAAGAUUUUAAAGGCUCACAAAUAUUGGCUAGCAGUUGGGUAUACAAUGGUAGAUUUUGAAGAUAUGCACCAGUUUCAUAUAUGCCAAAUGUAUAAACGACUGAUGGGGUGCUUCCAAAAAGUGGAGUGGAGAAGAUUAGUUUGUUACAGCUAUGGAGUUCCUAAGUGGAUUUUCAUUUUAAGAUUGGCCAUUAUGAACAGAUUGUACACUAAAGAUAGAUUAGCUAAGGAAGAUGCAGGUGGAAACCCAAUGGGUACUAUGCAGGAAAGAAGAUGAGAUAGUUGAACACUUAUUUUUCUAGUGUGAUUAUGCUGCUGCAAUAUGAAAUGCAUUGUUGCGAUGGAUAAAUAUGCAAAGAACUGCAAUUACAUGGAGCAGUGAAAUAACCUAGAGUGUAACAAAUAUCAAAGGGAAAUCAACCACUGCUCAUGUGUUCAUGAUGAUGUUGGUUGCUUACAUUUACUACAUCUGGCAUGAGAGGAACAACAGAAUAUUUAGGGAAAUAGAUGUACAGCCUGAUAGCACAGUGCAAAAAGUAAUAUAGAAAGUGAUACUUCUCGUUAGUUCAAAGCUGAAGUUAGCUAGUGUGGUGCCUACUCUGAACUAUUAACCAUAAAUGUGAUAGAUUCGUAGUGAAGGGAUAGUGUUGCACCCAGUCUGUGUUACCAGGCUGGAGGAUUGCUCUAUAAUGUCCACUUUUGGUAAUAAAAUAAAAUUAUUAACCAAAAAAAUAAUUUCAAGAUCAAUAUUAUAUGCCACAGUUUCUCAGAUUGUUGAAAAACAAUGGUAAAACGUCAAUAAAAAUGUUAUCAAUUUGUUAGCAAAAACAUAAUAAUGAUAAUAAUAAUAAUAAUAUCAAUAUAAUAA